rnacentral:rRNA from 1 species
AUGGAAGUAACAGCGGUGAGCGUCGGCAAGGCCGUGCUGAAUGGAGCACUGGGCUAUGCCAAGUCCAAGGCCGCGGAGGAGAUCGCCUUGCAGCUCGGUGUCGAGCGCGAUGUGACCUUUAUCACGGAUGAACUGCAGAUGAUGCAGUCAUUCCUGAUGACGGCCGAUGAGGAACAAGGCCAACACAAGGUACUCAUUACCUGGGUGCAGCAGGUCCGCGACCUGGCAUACAAGGUGGAGGACAGCCUUAUGGAUUUCGGCCUCCACGCGGAGAAGAAGCCGAUCUGGGGGUGCAUCCCCCGUGACCUAUGUGAUCGACGCCGCAUCGCCAUUGAAGUGAAGGAGCUAAGGGCAAAGGUUGAGGAUGUCAGCAGCAGAAACCUGCGGUACCGCCUCAUCAAGAAAGGUACAUCUGGCUCCAAGCCUGUUGCUGCUGCUGCUGCUGCAGAAGAGCAGGCCAGCCUUGCCAGCGCGGAAAUGUUUGGCAUCAAUGAAGCAAGGCUUGCCGCCGUCGAGGAGGGGAAACCCAAGGUGGAUCUCCAUCAGCUUAUCACCAGUGGACCGGAGAGCCUUGGCGUGAUCGCGGUGUGGGGAACCGGCGGUGAUCUUGGCAAGACAAAUGAGAUCAGGAAGGUCUAUGAAGACAAACAAGUGUUUGACAAGUUUGGAUACCGUGCUUGGGUUAGGCUGAUGCAUCCUUUUGACCCGAGAGUUUUCCUUCACAGCCUUAUGAGGCAGUUCUAUGAAAAUUCUCCAGAGGAAAUCAGAAAGGCACAAGAAGGGACAACUGUAGGGGUUAAUGUUCUGAUGAAGAUGGAAGGCAUGGGGCAAGGUGAUUUGUUUCGCGCGUUUAAUGCACAUGUUACUGAAAACCGGUACCUGGUUGUGAUUGAUGAUUUAUCCACUAUUGUUGAAUGGGAUUGCAUCAAAAGUUUCUUCCCGAGAAACAAGAGAGGUAGCAGAAUCAUACUGUCAACACGCCAAGCAGAAAUUGCAAGUUUGUGCCCAGACCAACCCCUCCGAGUAACAGCGCUUAAGCAGCUGUCAUCAGAUCAGGCACUUUAUCUGUUUCACCAGGAGGUUAUUCCUGCACCAGUUGUUGCAGAGACCGGUUCAGGCACGGCAAAAGUUAUCACUACUAAAGACAACCCAUCAAAGUCCACAAGUGAAAUAGAGGUGGAAAAUCAACGGCCAAUGUGUACUGGUGGAGAUACAGUUAAUAAUUCUACUCCUGUAAAGAAGCUUGAUCGCAGUAUCACAAAGAUACUGGUUGAGGAGUUGUUCACUGGGCGGGAAGCAGAGCAAGAUCAUGUUAUCAAUUUAGUUGGUAAAUCAGAAAACAAUCAAGAAAAUAAGGUGAUCUCAGUGUGGGGAAUGGGAGGUCUUGGGAAGACCACUCUCAUUCGAAGUGCCUACCGAAGCCAACAGCUUGGUGGCUGGAAGCGUGCUUGGGUCACUGCAUUGCGCCCAUUCGACUCUAAAGUGCUCAUCAGAAAUUUAGCUUUGCAACUACUGAGUGAUGUCCAAGAAGAUCCUACUGAAGCAACAGCAACUGGAGAAGAAAAGAAGAAGAUAGCAACAAUGGGACUUCAAGAGCUGGUUGAAGAAUUAAAUCUCCGUCUCAAAAAUAAAAGGUGCCUCAUUGUUCUUGAUGAUAUAUCAACCACUGCAGAAUGGGAUUUGGUCAGUAGUUGCUUGAAAAAUGUUGGAAUAGUCAUAGUCACCACAAGGGAGAAAAAAGUUGCCAAACAUUGUGCAGGAGAAGACAACAACAUGUAUCGUCUUAAAGGUCUGAAAGAUGCUGCUGCACUUGAUCUCUUAAAAAAAGGUGUUUAA